rnacentral:lncRNA from 1 species
CACUAUAGUGGCUUUUUGUGCUUGGUGACUCAUAGUGGAAACUCCAGUUCACAAAAGAAGGUAUUAGAGAAAGGAUAAUUCUCUCUCUCUCUUAUUUUCAUAUUUUACUUAAAAAUUUAGACUAGAUAUGAUUUCACAGGAAGAACAUAUUCAGUAUAGCAGAAAUAGAAGAGGUUUGGAGACAGUCAUUCAUUGAUGACUUGGAGUCAAAAAUACUGCUUUUGCUUUAAUCUCUACUCCAUGGUCAUAUAGGUGGGCUUUAUCCUCCUAUAUAUAAAAUAGUUAAAGACAAUUCCUGCUUCAAAUACUGUGAGGCUCAAAUGAGAUAUGUGAAAUAUUUUGUAAAAUAUUAUACAGUGCCGGAUUUCUUUAUCAUUAUAAUGGGACAUGAUCUUGUCUAGAGUAUAUGAAGUGAUUGUGGGUUAAAGCAUAUAAUUUUUCUCUUUCUAAUGUGCUAUAUAUUCUGUGGUUGUACAGGUGUGUUAUGUGGCUAAAUGCCACUUGCUUAGAUACUUUCGGCUUUUGCAGACCGAGUUGCCCUCCUAAGAAACCAUCCAAUGACAGGCGCCGUCUCAGCAGUGUCUGGGUCUACGAUGCCAAGAAAGCUUAUGGCAGUAAAUAAGAUGGCAGCUGUGACAGUCCUGACAGCUGGCUGGAGCUCAGGGUGGCAGGCUGAACCGGACUGUGAGCAGUUGGAGCAGCAGUGAGGUAUGACCACCAUUACUGGUUGGCAGAUGUCAGUUUCCACACUACUAGUUACUACAUGAUGUGACGGACACACUCACAUCAUGAAACAGGCAGACAGAACUUUAAACAAACUCUGGGGACCUAGCAUGUUCUAUACCAAACUUGGGGUUCAGAAAAAAAAUUAAAAAUCGUCGUCAAAACAUAAAUUCUUUGCCUUUGUAGUCCUUGUGCAAUUGGAGAAGAGUUUUACGAAGUAGCAAUGGUAGAGAAUUGAGUCUUCCACACAAGAGCUGGAAUCAAUGAAAAGCAAAACUGAUUUCAAAGAAAGGUCUAGUAUGUUGGCUGCCUUGAGAAGAGGUACUGAGCCUUCAAGCCACUCUGAAAUUCUAGGAUUUCUGAUAUGCACUGCCCAACACAGCCUUUGUCAAGAAUGGCAGCUUUUGCUUGGUUCUAUCUCCAAAUAAAGCCAAGAUUUCUAAUAUAAGGUAAAAAUUUUAAAAAGUACAAAAUAAAUGAGUAUUUACUAUAGGCCA